rnacentral:rRNA from 1 species
UAAUACAUGAACAACGUGCCCGGAAGACUGGGAUAGUCAGGGGAAACCCUGGGUAAUACCAGAUGUGGCCGAUCUUUGGCAUCUUAGAUCGAUCAAAUGGUUUUUCGCUUCCGGAGCGGUUCAUGGCCUAUCAGGUAGUUGGUGAGGUAAUGGCUCACCAAGCCGACGACGGGUAGCGGGUCUGAGAGGAUGGCCAGCCACAUUGGGACUGAGAGACGGCCCAG